AGAGUUUGAUCAUGGCUCAGAUUGAACGCUGGCGGCAGGCUUAACACAUGCAAGUCGAGCGGAGAUGAGGUGCUUGCACCUUAUCUUAGCGGCGGACGGGUGAGUAAUGCUUAGGAAUCUGCCUAUUAGUGGGGGACAACAUUCCGAAAGGAAUGCUAAUACCGCAUACGUCCUACGGGAGAAAGCAGGGGAUCUUCGGACCUUGCGCUAAUAGAUGAGCCUAAGUCGGAUUAGCUAGUUGGUGGGGUAAAGGCCUACCAAGGCGACGAUCUGUAGCGGGUCUGAGAGGAUGAUCCGCCACACUGGGACUGAGACACGGCCCAGACUCCUACGGGAGGCAGCAGUGGGGAAUAUUGGACAAUGGGGGGAACCCUGAUCCAGCCAUGCCGCGUGUGUGAAGAAGGCCUUAUGGUUGUAAAGCACUUUAAGCGAGGAGGAGGCUACUGAGACUAAUACUCUUGGAUAGUGGACGUUACUCGCAGAAUAAGCACCGGCUAACUCUGUGCCAGCAGCCGCGGUAAUACAGAGGGUGCGAGCGUUAAUCGGAUUUACUGGGCGUAAAGCGUGCGUAGGCGGCUUUUUAAGUCGGAUGUGAAAUCCCCGAGCUUAACUUGGGAAUUGCAUUCGAUACUGGGAAGCCAGAGUAUGGGAGAGGAUGGUAGAAUUCCAGGUGUAGCGGUGAAAUGCGUAGAGAUCUGGAGGAAUACCGAUGGCGAAGGCAGCCAUCUGGCCUAAUACUGACGCUGAGGUACGAAAGCAUGGGGAGCAAACAGGAUUAGAUACCCUGGUAGUCCAUGCCGU
rnacentral:rRNA from 1 species